AGUGAACGCUGGCGGUAUGCCUAACACAUGCAAGUCGAACGGCAGCACAGUAAGAGUUUGCUCUUACGGGUGGCGAGUGGCGGACGGGUGAGGCAUACAUCGGAAUCUCCUUUUUCGGGGGGGAUAACGUAGGGAAACUUACGCUAAUACCGCUUACGACCUACGGGUGAAAGCAGGGGAUCUUCGGACCUUGCUCGAUUGAAUGACCCGAUGUCGGGUUAGCUAGUUGGCGGGGUAAAGGCCCACCAAGGCUACGAUCCGUAGCUGGUCUGAGAGGAUGAUCAGCCACACUGGAACGGAGACACGGUCCAGACUCCUACGGGAGGCAGCAGUGGGGAAUAUUCGACAAUGGGCGCAAGCCUGAUCCAGCCAUACCGCGUGGGUGAAGAAGGCCUUCGGGUUGUAAAGCCCUUUUGUUGGGAAAGAAAAGCAGCAGGUUAAUACCCCGCUGUUCUGACGGUACCCAAAGAAUAAGCACCGGCUAACUUCGUG
rnacentral:rRNA from 1 species